GGGGGCGUAGCUCAGCGGCAGAGCCUCUGCCUCACAAGCAGAAGUUCCCAGGUUCAGUCCCUGCCAUCUCCU